rnacentral:rRNA from 1 species
UACGUAGGGGGCAAGCGUUGUCCGGAUUUAUUGGGCGUAAAGAGCUCGUAGGCGGUUGGGUAAGUCGGGUGUGAAAACUCCAGGCUCAACUUGGAGAUGCCACCCGAUACUGCUCUGACUUGAGUUCGGUAGGGGAGACUGGAAUUCCUGGUGUAGCGGUGAAAUGCGCAGAUAUCAGGAGGAACACCGGUGGCGAAGGCGGGUCUCUGGGCCGAUACUGACGCUGAGGAGCGAAAGCGUGGGGAGCGAACAGG